GGAUGCGUGUAGUGAUACCAAAGCAUCUUUAAAACUCGUGCAACUUCAAGUCGAGCCUUUGGAAAGUAGUCGGGGUGUAGUGUAGAAGCGUUUCACAAUACAAUCCACACUCUCACUCCAUCAGACAGGUGUUUCAUUGUAUUAACGUACCACGCACCCACUUAUCCCUCUUUGUUCUCCCCCCCCUUAAUCCUCCUAUUGUCUGCAAGGCGAGAGACGGGUACCGGUCUUGUCCCAGCGCUGAUAUCACAGGAAUGCAGAUGUUAACUCAUAUUUAUCUACCAUAUCUGGUGAUGCAGAGAGAUGUGUUCCUGUAGCGAAGACUUCUAUAAAAUCUUAUUUAUCGCCUUAACUACCACUAUCACUCCUACUGUAUUUUGUUACGAGUUAACACGCUUGUUAUUCCAGCAACUGUUAACUCGGCGUGACUGACGUGUGUGUGUGUGUGUGUGUGUGUGUGUGUGUGUGUGUGUGCUUGCUGGCGUCAGAUAACUUUUGGUGACACCGGCCGUGUGUUCCUCAGCAGGUGUGUGUGUGCCGCAGAUGUGUAUAUGUGUGUGGCAGGAGAGCCGGUGUUGCUGCAUCGUCUCUACUCAGCAAGUGUUUCAAGACUGCAAUUAUCGUACUCCUGAACUGCCUAGGAUGACUGGUGGACGGCGUUACUGCUUGGCGCUGGUGUGUAUUACCCUCCCCGUCCUGCUCUGCCUGUGCGUGGGAGGCAGCUCGACAGACGACAGAAGGCUGAUGACCACACAUGAGCUCGAGGACCCAAACAAACAAACCGCCGGAUUGACAUGGAAAGCCCUCGCUAACAUCUCGUAUUUCGUCAUUCGCACCACCGUCAGUGUUCUACGGAAACUGAUAAUUUACCUCGUCUCCCAUUACUUCUCCUCUACCCUGUCCCUCUACGGCCUCCAGGACUUGCUACACGAGUCUUGGAUCCUGAAUGUGCUAGAGAGACGCUUGUUGGGCAGUGAGAAGGAGAGAAGCUGGCUGGAGUAUCGGCUGGAUAUAGAUGCGAUUGAGGAGAUCAUUGCCUUUUUGAAGGAUGGUACUGAUGGAGGCUGGGCAUUGAGAGAGAGAGAGAGAGAGAGAGAGAGAGAGAGAGAGAGGAGAGAGAGAGAGAGAGAGAGAGAGAGAGAGAGAGAGAGAGAGAGAGAGAGAGUGUGUGUCUGUGAUUAGAUUAAUGUAAGGUAUAUAAACAAAAAGAGGAGCUGACGUGAACUGUAAAGAUUGAAUUUCCAAUAUCAAGUAAAAUUCUCAGGAUCGGUAAUCAUAACAGAACAAGGAACAUCGGGUUCAUGCUUGAUAAAAUUCGAAAAAAAAAAAAAAAAAAAAUAGUUUUGAAAUAGAGUAGUGGAUGAAUGGAACGGACUCGGUAAUCCUGCUGUUGGUGCUGAGUCAUUAAGGAAGAUUAGAUAAACGUGUGGAUGGGGAUGACAAGUGGAAGCAGGCAGGUGUGUUUCAUACAGGGAGUGCCACGUGUAGGCCUGGUGGCUUCCUGCACCAACCCUUGUGUUCUUGUGUUCCUGCUAACUAAGAAACUAGGAACUAAGAAACAGAUCAGAGGAGAGAUGUUUAUGUCAAAAAUUAUCUCAAGUUUGUAGAAAAAUGGAUGAAAAUUAUAUAGAAGUGAGAAAGAUUAAUGGAAUAAAGAUUGAAAACUA